GAUGAAGAACGUAGCGAAAUGCGAUAAGUAAUGCGAAUUGCAGAAUUCCAGUGAGUCAUCGAAUCUUUGAACGCACAUUGCGCCCUUUGGUAUUCCGAAGGGCAUGCCUGUUCGAGCGUCAUUAUCACCCCUCAAGCCCUCGGCUUGGUGUUGGACGGUUUGGUGGAGGCCCCCUCGGGGGCUCCUGCCCCUCCCAAAGACAAUGACGGCGGCCUCGUUGGACCCCCGGUACACUGAGUUCUUCACGGGACACGUAUCGGACACAUGGGUUUACGGGACACGGUCUGCCUCCCCUCAGGGAGAAUCUUUCUAAGGUUGACCUCGGAUCAGGUAGGGAUACCCGCUGAACUUAAGCAUAUCAAUAAGCGGAGG
rnacentral:misc_RNA from 1 species